rnacentral:lncRNA from 1 species
UUUUUUCUUUUAGCUCAGAAUAAUUAUAAUCUUUCUGUUACUCCAUUAGUUUACAAAUUUGAAUAAUUAUAAUCUUUAUGCAACUAAAAAUAUAUUUGGAGUGAUUCUUUUUCCUGCUAUUUAAUAUUACUGCGUUUUAUUAUUAUAUUGAAAAACAUAUUUUGUUAUUUUAGUUUCUAUCAAAAAAAUCUUUAUGACAAUUCUUUUUGCUUCUAAAGUUUCUAACAAAAAAAAUCUUUAUGACAAUUCUUUUUGCUACUUUGAUAAUUUUAGUUGCAUAAAUUUUAUAUAAUUUUAGUUUAAAAAAUACUAGAGGUUUAUAAAAGAUUUUUAGUUGAUUCCUUUUGCUAUUAGAGUUUUAUAAAAGCAUUUACUAGUGUGGUAUCAUCAUUUCAUCCACAUAGCAUGUGCAAGAAAGUUGAGAAGGUUACCGCAAAAAACUGGAUGCAUUUCAUGUACAAAACGGACAAUCUCUUCGAAGUAUCAGGAUUUCAUACGGAAACUUGUCUGUUACAACAGGCAUUUCAAAUGAACUACGAAAAGGUUGAAAGUUGGCAUGGUAUCAUCAUAAUAGUUGUGGAGAAAGUCUUCAUUUUUUCUUUGCUUGUGUCCUUUCCUUAUUGCGCUGUAACCAUGGAUAAUCUUCAUCAUUUAUCAGGAUGCUUGGGUCAGCCUUGACUUUGAAGGGAGGAAUUUCAUGAAACUUUUCAUAAUCUUCAGACAUGUCUGUCUUGCCCUCCACUCCCACGAUGUCCCUUUUUCCUGAAAGAACUAUGUGGCACUUUGGCUCAUCUUAUGAUGUAUUCGCUUCCUUAUUUUUUCUUUUUCUUGGUUUGGUAGACAUGUCCUUCACAUAGAUAACCUAUGCCACAUCAUUGGCUAGGACGAACGGUUCGUUAGUGUACCCAAGAUUGUUUAGAUCCACUGUUGUCAUUCUGUACUAUGGGUCUACCUGUACCCCGCCUCCUGACAGAUUGACCCAGUUGCAUUUAAACAAAGGGACCUUAAAAUCUACUCCAUAGUCAACUUCCCAUAUGUCCACUAUGUAACCAUAGUAUGUGUCCUUUCCCCUCUCGGUUGCUGCGUCAAAGCGGACACCGCUGUUUUGGUUGGUGCUCUUUUGAUCUUGGGCGAUCCUGUAAAAUGUAUUCCCAUUUAUCUCGUAUCCUUUGUCAGUCAAUAUAGUCGAAGAUGGUCCCCUGGACAACGAGUACAGCUCAGCACAAACAGUGUUCUCACCUCUGAGACGUGUUUCCAACCAACUGCUGAAAGUCCUGAUGUGUUCACUUGUAAUCCAGUCGUCACACCGCUCCGGGUAUUUGGAGCGCAGACUGUUCUUGUGUUCAUCGACAUACAGGGUCACCAAGGUAGAGUUCAUUAGUACUGUGUAGUGUGCUUGAGACCAAGAAUAUCCGUCCCUGCAUAUUAUUGAGUCCCCUCCAAGCGUGCCUUUUCCAGUCAUUCUCCCCUCAUAUCGCGAUUCUGGGAGACCUAUCUUCUUAAGGCCGGGAAUGAAGUCAACACAAAAUUCAAUGACAUCCUCUGUUUGAUGGCCCAUGGAGAUGCUUCCUUCUGGCCUAGUGCAGUUAUGGACAUAUUUCUUUAGGACUCCCAUGAACCUCUCAAAGGGGUACAUAUUGUGUAGAAAUACGGGGCCCAGAAUGACAAUCUCGUCAACUAGAUGAACUAGGACGUGCGUCAUGAUAUUGAAGAAGGAUUGUGGGAACACCAGCUCGAAACUGGCAAGACAUUGCACCAGAUCACUCCUUAGCCUUGGUAUGAUUUCUGGAUCGAUCACCUUCUGAGAGAUUGCAUUGAGGAAUGCACAUAGCUUCACAAUGGCUAAUCGGACGUUUUCCGGUAGAAGGCCCCUCAAUGCAACCGGAAACAGUUGCUUCAUAAUCACGUGGCAGUCAUGAGACUUUAAGUUCUGAAACUUUUUCUCUGCCAUAUUUAUUAUUCACUUUAUAUUCGACGAGAAGCCAGUCGGGACCUUCAUACUAAGCAGACAUUCAAAGAAGAUUUCCUUCUCUUCUUUGGUAAGAGCGUAGUUGGCAGGACCUUCAUACUGCUUUGGAGGCAUGCCGUCUUUUUCGUGCAAACAUUGUAGGUCCUCCCGUGCCUCAGCUGUAUCUUUUGUCUUCCCAUACACGUCCAAGAAGCCUAGCAGGUUCACGCAAAGGUUCUUCGUCACGUGCAUCACGUCGAUCGAAGAGCGGACCUCUAGGUCUUUCCAGUAGGGUAGGUCCCAAAAUAUAGAUUUCUUCUUCCACAUGGAUGCGUGUCCCUCAGCGUCACUUGGAACAGCUAGUCCGUUGUGACCCUUUCCAAAGAUUACGUGUAAAUCAUUGACCAUAGCAAGUACGUAAUCACCGGUACGCAUGGCGGGCUUCUUCCGGUGAUCUGCCUCGCCUUUGAAAUGCUUGCCUUUCUUUUGACAUUGAUGGUUGGUCGGAAGAAAUCGAUGAUGGCCCAGGUACACAUUCUUCCUGCAACUUCCCAGGUAUAUACUUUCGGUGUCAGCUAAAUAGUGCGUGCAUGCGUGGUAUCCCUUGUUUGUCUGUCCUGAAAGGUUACUAAGAGUGGGCCAAUCGUUGAUGGUUACAAACAGCAACGUGUGCAGGUUAAAUUCCUCCUAUCUAUGCUCAUCCCACACACGUACACCGUUUCCAUUCCACAGCUGUAAAAGUUCUUCAACUAAUGGCCUUAGGUACACAUCCAUGUCGUUGUCGGGUUGCUUAGGGCCUUGGAUGAGAACUGGCAUCAUAAUGAACUUCCGCUUCAUGCACAUCCAAGGAGGAAGCUUAUACAUACAUAGAGUCACGGGCCAGGUGCUGUGAUUGCUUCUCUGCUCCCCGAAAAGAUUAAUUCCAUCCGCGCUUAAACCAAACCAUCCGUUCCUUGGGUCAUGUGCAAACUCAGCCCAGUACUCUCUCUCGAUUUUUCUCCACUGCGACCCAUCAGCGGGUGCUCUCAACUUCCCAUCUUUCUUACGGUCCUCACUGUGCAUCGCAUCAACUUGGCAUGCUCUUUGUUUCUGAACAGUCGUUUCAACCGUGGUAUUAUAGGAGCAUACCACAUCACCUUCGCAGGAACUCUCUACCUGCGGGGCUCGCCGUCAACAUCACCAGGGUCAUCUCGUCUGAUCUUAUACCGCAAUGCACCGCAUACCGGGCAUGUGUUUAAAUCCUCGUACGCACCGCGGUAGAGGAUGCAGUCACUAGGUCAUGCAUGUAUCUUCUGCACCUCCAAUCCUAGAGGGCAUACGACCUUCUUUGCUGCAUACGUACUGUCGGGCAAUUCAUUAUCCUUUGGAAGCUUCUUCUUUAAUAUUUUCAGUAGCUUCUCAAAUCCUUUGUCAGGCACAGCAUUCUCUGCCUUCCACUGCAGCAAUUCCAGUACGGUACCCAGCUUUGUGUUGCCAUCUUUGCACUUGGGGUACAACCCUUUUUUGUGAUCCUCUAACAUGCGAUCGAACUUCAGCUUCUCCUUUUGACUUUCGCGUUGCGUCCUUGCAUCGAAAAUGACCGGGCGGAGAUCAUCAUCGGGCACAUCGUCUGGUUGCUCUUGAUCUUCAGCAGCUUCCCCCAUUGCAGCAUCAUCGGGCACAUCGUCUAGUUCCUCUUGAUCUUCAGCAGCUCCCCCGUUGCAGCAUCACCGUAUUCAGGGGGCACAUAGUUUUCAUCGUCCUCUUCUUCUUCGUCGUCUUCCAUCAUAACCCCUAUUUCUCCGUGCCUCGUCCAAACAUUAUAGUGUGGCAUGAAACCCUUGUAAAGCAGGUGGGUGUGAAGGAUUUUCCGGUCAGAGUAAGACUUCGUAUCCCACAUUUAGUGCAUGGACAACACAUAAAACCAUUCUGCUUGUUUGCCUCAGCCACUUUGAGAAAAUUAUGCACGCCCUUAAUGUACUCGGAGGUGUGUCUGUCAUCAUACAUCCAUUGCCGGUUCAUCUGCGUGCAUUAUAUAUAAUUAUGUGUGUCAAAAGUAAGAAAAUCAGACAAGUAUCAGAAAGAAGAUAAGAACAAGAGGCUCACCACGGUGGUGCCGGCGACGAGAUCGGCGCGGGCGAUCAACGGCGGUGAAAACGGGGAUGGGGCGUGACGAACCACUAAAUGUAGACAAAUCUCAAAAAAAUGGAGCUGCGAGGUCGAGCUUCGAGAGGAGAAAGCUUAACUAGUGUGUCUCGGGCAUUUCAUCGAACACCUCAUGUGCAUAGGAGGUGAACUAGAGCACUCAAAUGCCCUCUCCUCGCCGGAUUGAAAAAACAGAGCAUCGGAGUGCUCUGCCGCGGCGGUGGGAUAUAUAUAGGCAAGUUAUUUGUCCCGGUUCGUGGCAUGAACCGGGACUAAAGCCCCCCCCCUUCUGUCCCGGUUCAAACCACGAACCGGGACCUAUGAUUGUGGGCCAGGAGCGAGGACCAUUGGUCCCGGUUCGUGGCUUGAACCGGGACAAAUGGUUCCACACGAACCGGGACCAAUGCCCACGAGGCCCCGGCCGUCCCCCUGGGCUCACGAACCGGGUCUAAUACCCCCCAUGGGUCCCGGUUCUUGAAGAACCGGGACUAAUGGGCUGGCUGGGCCCGAACGUUAGCCCUGUUUUCUACUAGUGACACCUUUAUCCUACGAACAACAAUAGAUAAAUUGUAGACCCAGGGAGCAUUACAAAAAUAUAAGAACAUUCUAGGUCCGGCUGCCGCAUACAGUUGUUUCACAGACAAGCAGCAAACAAAUGUAAACAUGUUUCUUGCCUAGAAGAGGGCGUUGCAAAAUUACAAGGCUUAUGGAGAACAAUGAGGCACGUCAUAUAAUCAUAGUUUCAGUUGCAAGGCUCAAUAUAUAGAAGUAGGAAAAAGGUUGGGCCCACAUUCUCUACUGCAGAAAUUAAGAACCACAUUGCAUACAAGAUAGCAUCAAGCUAAACAGUGAUUGGGUACAUAUUAUGUCCUAAUUAAGAUAGCUAACAGUAAUCCCAUCACAGAAGAUAACACCAAAAACAAGUCAAGGCCUCCUUUGGCGGCACCGAGGGGUGAGGGAAGGGAGAGCCGGCGGCUAGGAUUUCGUCGUCUCCCGUGUCACCCCGAGCGGAGUGACGCGGAGGCAGAGCCUUCUAUUCCUCUCUCUCUUAGUUUCCCCUCAUUGAUUGUUUUUUCUUUUACUUUUGAAUAUUUAUGGACUUCCAUUUAAAAAAAUGAUCAUGUAGGAGACAUAUGGUGAUGAUGUUGCCUGCAUGUAGGCACCAAUGUUAGCCAAAACUACUCUGAUGGCCUAAAAGUACAAGGCAUUGAGAUUUAAACUAGGAUGGUAGGCAUGAAAACAUUACAUCAGAAUACAAGAAGAAUUAAUGCAACAUAUUUUUGACUGAAAAUUAAUGCAACAUAUUUAACUUUGAGUUCUUUAUGCCAUGCUAUCAGCUAAAACCCAGAUAUCAAAUGUGGGCCCAGCCACCUUGAACAAAUCUUCCUUGUGGGUCCCUCUGAAACAGAAAAUUAGGAAGUAUAAGUUUUGUUGAAUUUUCAUUCAUUUGAAAUGUUUAUGUACAUGCCUUUUACAGUUGUCUUAAAAAGAUGCAUUUUUAUUAAAAGAUCAUGGCACCCAGAUUUGUAUGAACUAUUUUUCCAAGUUUAGUUUCCCUUUUAUGUAGUACUACUACAAGUAUGACAUGCACCAGAAUCAAGAAAAAUGGAC